rnacentral:rRNA from 1 species
AGUGGCGGACGGGUGAGUAACGCGUGAGAAUCUGCCUUGGGGUCGGGGACAACCACCGGAAACGGUGGCUAAUACCGGAUAAGCCGAUUGGUGAAAGAUUUAUUGCCCGAAGAGGAGCUCGCGUCUGAUUAGCUAGUUGGUGAGGUAAGAGCUCACCAAGGCAGCGAUCAGUAGCUGGUCUGAGAGGACGAUCAGCCACACUGGGACUGAGACACGGCCCAGACUCCUACGGGAGGCAGCAGUGGGGAAUUUUCCGCAAUGGGCGAAAGCCUGACGGAGCAAGACCGCGUGAGGGAGGAAGGCUCUUGGGUUGUAAACCUCUUUUCUCAGGGAAGAAGCUCUGACGGUACCUGAGGAAUCAGCCUCGGCUAACUCCGUGCCAGCAGCCGCGGUAAUACGGAGGAGGCAAGCGUUAUCCGGAAUUAUUGGGCGUAAAGCGUCCGCAGGUGGCGAUUCAAGUCUGCUGUCAAAGCACGGGGCUUAACUCCGUAAAGGCAGUGGAAACUGAAUAGCUAGAGUGCCGUAGGGGUAGAGGGAAUUCCCGGUGUAGCGGUGAAAUGCGUAGAGAUCGGGAAGAACAUCGGUGGCGAAAGCGCUCUACUGGACGGCAACUGACACUCAGGGACGAAAGCUAGGGGAGCGAAUGGGAUUAGAUACCCC